rnacentral:rRNA from 1 species
GUAGGUGGCAAGCGUUGUCCGGAAUUAUUGGGCGUAAAGCGCGCGCAGGCGGUCCUUUAAGUCUGAUGUGAAAGCCCACGGCUCAACCGUGGAGGGUCAUUGGAAACUGGGGGACUUGAGUACAGAAGAGGAAAGCGGAAUUCCAAGUGUAGCGGUGAAAUGCGUAGAGAUUUGGAGGAACACCAGUGGCGAAGGCGGCUUUCUGGUCUGUAACUGACGCUGAGGCGCGAAAGCGUGGGGAGCAAACAGGAUUAGAUACCCUGGUAGUCCACGCCGUAAACGAUGAGUGCUAAGUGUUAGGGGGUUUCCCGCCCCCUUAGUGCUGCAGCUAACGCAUUAAGCACUGCGCCUGGGGAGUACGGCCGCAAGGCUG